UCAGCAAAUUAAUAUGCCAUUAGCAGCAGCCAUGUAGAAGGGGCCCACUCUAAUCAUCUCCUAAUGGGGAGCGGUAACUUUCCAAACUGUCAGGCGGCAGCGGCACAGGUUAAAUAUCCCCUUCACCUGUCGUGUUCAGCAGGCUGCAGGAGAUGAGGUGGGAGACGCAGUGAAAGCUCGCUCAGCUGUCAAUCCUGGCUAUAAAUGAAUCAUAAUUAUUGUAAUUUGGGAGAAGGAACUUACUGCCAGCCAGAGAGCGGCCCAAACUCCAGCUGAAACUUCUUUGAGCCUAAUUGUUGAUUGAGUGCUGGCUGUAAAAGUGUUGGAGCACAGUGGAGAUAAUACAGUUACCUGUUACAAACAACACAAAUGACCCCCCCACUGCUGCCAAUACACAGCCAGAAGCUAAUUACCCUGUAAUGAGAGUCUUGCUGUUAUGGACCUCCCAGGCCACCAUAGCUGUAAUAUCAUUAAACCUCCCACAUCCAUGAUGGGAUCCAUAUUUCUAUCUAUAGUUUACCUCACUUUCAUUUUGCAUCUUUCUAGCACUUCGUUUUUUGAUUUUUCUUCAAAACUAGUCUAAUCUUAUAGUUGGCUUUUAUUUUGAAAUUUGAGCAGGAGCCAGACGCACAAAGGUAAACUUACAUGAGUCCCAUCACAACCCUGCCAUGCAGAAUGGCGUCCCAGGAGUCUCGUGGGACGAGCGCUCCAGCAGGGGCAGAACCCCGUGAGAGAACAUGGCGUGCUUCCUCAUGAGCUUUUUAUCACCUGAGCGAUAAAACACACAAUGUUUGCAUUGAACAGUCCAAACAGUUUGUGCGUGUGCGAGUCCCUCUCACACCACAGCCUGUCACAGCGGCGCCACCGUGGUCGGGCAGAGGUCCAGAACACACUUGGUCUCCCACAAACACUUCUCAAGCACUAACUGCAGCUCUACUUCAGAGCCACAACUCCUGGUUGCUGCACUUCCUCUCACUGUAACACACACUUCACUCAAACCCCACCGCCCAUCCACCCACAGAAGCAGCGCCGCGCCUCCUCCACCGACCUCUUCACCCACUCAUCACCGUGACAACAGCAGCAUGUCCCACGGCUCGACAUCUCUCAACACCAGCAGCCGCCUACUCCAGUAAAAAUAGCUGAGUGUGAGGUGAGGAUAAAGGGGGAGUUGAUGGUGGGGGGAGGGUAGAUUUUGGGUGUGAAGUCAUAUCUGACAUGUAGGUCUGGCGCCUGGAGCUGAAGGCGCACGCCGGCGUCGAUGACCGGCCGCCAUGCAUUAAGAAAAAUCUUCCUGGAAGUUUUGAUCAACUUUAAAAAGUUUCAACCUUUACAAGCAAAAGAUGGAACCACCUGGUUUAGGGGCGGAGUCAGAAUUUCCUCCCCAGUUUUGAAUUAGCAAGUACUAAAGUUUAACACCAACAACUCUGCAGGUACCAGAUAGGAGGGGUCCGUUUUUUUACUAAGUUCAGAUUCUGUGAUGUCACAGAUCCAUAGAAGGCACAAGGCUUAAAUCCAGGUAAGCACAGGUGAAGGCAAUAACUGUGAUUACCAGAGGAGGACCUGUAGGAGGAGACAAAGCCAAAUCCUGACACCUGGAGAGGUUCCCCUCAACCAAGGAUCAAACAGAUGUCCAGAAGGUUUCAAAUGUUCUUUCAGGCAACGUGGGGCCUAUCCCUAGUCUUGUCCUCGCCCUCUUAUGGAGGGAACACAGGCCAACCUUUAAAGUUCAGCUGUCCUGAAGAACAGAGAACGACAUGGAUGACUGAUAAUCUUCACAGACACACAGCAGGAAUCAAGAAAAACUUUGAAAUGUCUGCUAAUCAAAGUCACCAGAAGGAGACAGAAAUUCUGCAGAAUCAAGUCAGAAGGUGGAAUCCAUCUAGACAUCCAAGACCCUAACCUGGCUACUCUAGGGCAAAGGUACAAAAGAGGAAACGGCUGUUUAACUGGAUGCAUUUUUAUGGCAGUGAAAACAUGUGCUAAAGAGCAAACAUGUCUCAACAAACAGCAAGCAGGAGUCCAUCGAACCCACUGAUAAUCGGAGAGAAACACUCAGGCGUAACGCCAGAAAAAACACAAAUCAUCCAGUAAAACAUUCUUUGAAAUUUGUAUUUUAAAACCAAAUCGAAAAAUGUGUGCUUUUUUUUGCCUUUUUAUUGUAAAGUAGAACAAAAGAAUAUAUCCCUUCUUAUUUUAGCUUGAUUGAGAGUUAAAAAAGGAACUUUUGGCUCUUUUGGAGUUGAAGAAUCAUUCAAAUAAUAAUUUAAUAAACAAUCAACAACCUUUAACAGAAGACCGCGUGAGAAACGAGGUCCUGGUGGCAUUUGAUUUUCUUCAGUGUUUGUGAAUUUGGAUGUAUUUACUUUCCUUCAAAUCCAGGUACAUUCAAGUAUAUUUGGUUCUGGGUUGUGGUUUGCAGUCAUGGUUGGUUAGGACCAGCUCUUAAUGGAAUAAACUACCAGCACACGUUAGGGGGAUAGCGUUUUAUCCAACAUUAGUGUCUGUAUUCGUGUCAUCUUCAAACAUUUGGCGGACACUGACAGAAAAGCUGACGUCUGGUUUGAAGUCAAAACAGAAACCUAAAAACUCAAUGAGGGCAGCGGGACGGUGCACUUUUUUUUUUGACGGCUGCCCUGCAGCAGGUCAAACCUUUAAGAUGCCUGAUCACCUUCCUCAUGCACGACUUGUGCAAAGCUUUGGG